UACGUAGGGUGCAAGCGUUAUCCGGAAUUAUUGGGCGUAAAGAGCUCGUAGGCGGUCUGUCGCGUCUGCUGUGAAAACCCGAGGCUCAACCUCGGGCCUGCAGUGGGUACGGGCAGACUAGAGUGCGGUAGGGGAGAUUGGAAUUCCUGGUGUAGCGGUGGAAUGCGCAGAUAUCAGGAGGAACACCGAUGGCGAAGGCAGAUCUCUGGGCCUUGCCUGACGCUGAGGCGCGAAAGCUAGGGGAGCGAACAGG
rnacentral:rRNA from 1 species